AUGAACGCUGGCGGCGUGCCUAAUACAUGCAAGUCGAGCGAACAGACGAGGAGCUUGCGCCUCUGACGUUAGCGGCGGACGGGUGAGUAACACGUGGAUAACCUACCUAUAAGUCUGGGAUAACUUCGGGAAACCGGAUCUAAUACCGGAGAAUAUAUUGAACCGCAUGGUUCAAUAGUGAAAGACGGUUUUGCUGUCACUUAUAGAUGGAUCCGCGCCGCAUUAGCUAGUUGGUAAGGUAACGGCUUACCAAGGCGACGAUGCGUAGCCGACCUGAGAGGGUGAUCGGCCACACUGGAACUGAGACGCGGACCAGACUCCUACGGGAGGCAGCAGUAGGGAAUCUUACGCAAUGGGCGAAAGCCUGACGGAGCAACGCCGCGUGAGUGAUGAAGGUCUUCGGAUCGUAAAACUCUGUUAUUAGGGAAGAACAAAUGUGUAAGUAACUAUGCACGUAUUGACGGUACCUAAUCAGAAAGCCACGGCUAACUACGUG
rnacentral:rRNA from 1 species